rnacentral:rRNA from 1 species
CUACGGGUGGCUGCAGUGGGGAAUAUUGCACAAUGGGCGCAAGCCUGAUGCAGCCAUGCCACGUGUGUGAAGAAGGCCUUCGGGUUGUAAAGCACUUUCAGCGGGGAGGAAGGCGUUAAGGUUAAUAACCUUGGCGAUUGACGUUACCCGCAGAAGAAGCACCGGCUAACUCCGUGCCAGCAGCCGCGGUAAUACGGAGGGUGCAAGCGUUAAUCGGAAUUACUGGGCGUAAAGCGCACGCAGGCGGUCUGUCAAGUCGGAUGUGAAAUCCCCGGGCUCAACCUGGGAACUGCAUUCGAAACUGGCAGGCUAGAGUCUUGUAGAGGGGGGUAGAAUUCCAGGUGUAGCGGUGAAAUGCGUAGAGUUCUGGAGGAAUACCGGUGGCGAAGGCGGCCCCCUGGACAAAGACUGACGCUCAGGUGCGAAAGCGUGGGGAGCAAACAGGAUUAGAUACCCCGGUAGUC